UGUUAGUCUAUCUAACUUCAGAAGCCAAACGCAGAGGUGAUUCUGGUCGUAUUAGGCUAAGUCAACUAAGAAAAGCAAACAGCCUCCCUCACCAAGGGCAACCGACAAGUUCCUUACCUGCCCUGAGGACUAGAGUUUUCAUCUCACUGAAAAUUCAGAAUCAAAAUCAAAAACAGCUGAGGUAGUUACUCGGGUGCCUUCCUUCAGCUUAUUCAAAAGAAUAUAGGAUGCACGAUCUCAGUCUCAUGCUGCUCUUGAAGAAUUAAGCUGCCAUGUUGUGAACUGCCUAUGGAGAAGUUCAUGUGGCAAGUAGCAUGGACAGCCUCUAGGAACGAAGGAUGUCAGUCAUACAGCACCAAGAAAUGAAUUCUGUCAACCACCAGAAUGAGAAUGGAAACAGAUUCUUCCCCAGUCGAGUCUCCAGAUGGGAUCACAACCUAGCUAGUACUUUGACUGUAGCCUUGUUAGACUCUUAGCAGAGCAGCUAUGCUACGCCAGACUCCCGAACCACAGAAACUUUAA